AGAGUUUGAUCAUGGCUCAGGACGAACGCUGGCGGCGUGCCUAAUACAUGCAAGUCGAGCGAGCGGAACUAACAGAUUUACUUCGGUAAUGACGUUAGGAAAGCGAGCGGCGGAUGGGUGAGUAACACGUGGGGAACCUGCCCCAUAGUCUGGGAUACCACUUGGAAACAGGUGCUAAUACCGGAUAAUAAAGCAGAUCGCAUGAUCAGCUUUUAAAAGGCGGCGUAAGCUGUCGCUAUGGGAUGGCCCCGCGGUGCAUUAGCUAGUUGGUAAGGUAAAGGCUUACCAAGGCGAUGAUGCAUAGCCGAGUUGAGAGACUGAUCGGCCACAUUGGGACUGAGACACGGCCCAAACUCCUACGGGAGGCAGCAGUAGGGAAUCUUCCACAAUGGACGCAAGUCUGAUGGAGCAACGCCGCGUGAGUGAAGAAGGUUUUCGGAUCGUAAAGCUCUGUUGUUGGUGAAGAAGGAUAGAGGUAGUAACUGGCCUUUAUUUGACGGUAAUCAACCAGAAAGUCACGGCUAACUACGUGCCAGCAGCCGCGGUAAUACGUAGGUGGCAAGCGUUGUCCGGAUUUAUUGGGCGUAAAGCGAGCGCAGGCGGAAGAAUAAGUCUGAUGUGAAAGCCCUCGGCUUAACCGAGGAACUGCAUCGGAAACUGUUUUUCUUGAGUGCAGAAGAGGAGAGUGGAACUCCAUGUGUAGCGGUGGAAUGCGUAGAUAUAUGGAAGAACACCAGUGGCGAAGGCGGCUCUCUGGUCUGCAACUGACGCUGAGGCUCGAAAGCAUGGGUAGCGAACAGGAUUAGAUACCCUGGUAGUCCAUGCCGUAAACGAUGAGUGCUAAGUGUUGGGAGGUUUCCGCCUCUCAGUGCUGCAGCUAACGCAUUAAGCACUCCGCCUGGGGAGUACGACCGCAAGGUUGAAACUCAAAGGAAUUGACGGGGGCCCGCACAAGCGGUGGAGCAUGUGGUUUAAUUCGAAGCAACGCGAAGAACCUUACCAGGUCUUGACAUCUAGUGCCAUUUGUAGAGAUACAAAGUUCCCUUCGGGGACGCUAAGACAGGUGGUGCAUGGCUGUCGUCAGCUCGUGUCGUGAGAUGUUGGGUUAAGUCCCGCAACGAGCGCAACCCUUGUUAUUAGUUGCCAGCAUUAAGUUGGGCACUCUAAUGAGACUGCCGGUGACAAACCGGAGGAAGGUGGGGAUGACGUCAAGUCAUCAUGCCCCUUAUGACCUGGGCUACACACGUGCUACAAUGGGCAGUACAACGAGGAGCGAGCCUGCGAAGGCAAGCGAAUCUCUGAAAGCUGUUCUCAGUUCGGACUGCAGUCUGCAACUCGACUGCACGAAGCUGGAAUCGCUAGUAAUCGCGGAUCAGCACGCCGCGGUGAAUACGUUCCCGGGCCUUGUACACACCGCCCGUCACACCAUGGGAGUCUGCAAUGCCCAAAGCCGGUGGCCUAACCUUCGGGAAGGAGCCGUCUAAGGCAGGGCAGAUGACUGGGGUGAAGUCGUAACAAGGUAACC
rnacentral:rRNA from 1 species